rnacentral:rRNA from 1 species
CGAGGAAUCUUGCGCAAUGGGCGAAAGCCUGACGCAGCAACGCCGCGUGAGUGAAGAAGGCCCUCGGGUUGUAAAACUCUUUUACCGGGGAAGAAGUUCUGACGGUACCCGGUGAAUAAGCCACGGCUAACUACGUGCCAGCAGCCGCGGUAAUACGUAGGUGGCAAGCGUUAUCCGGAAUUACUGGGCGUAAAGCGUACGUAGGCGGUUCGGAAAGUCCGUUGUGAAAUCUCUCGGCUUAACUGGGAGGGGUCAAUGGAAACUUCCGGACUUGAGGAGCGUAGAAGUGAGCGGAAUUCCCGGUGUAGCGGUGAUAUGCGUAGAUAUCGGGAGGAACACCAGUGGCGAAAGCGGCUCACUAGGCGCCACCUGACGCUGAGGUACGAAAGCGUGGGGAGCGAACCGGAUUAGAUACCCGUGUAGUCC